GUGCCAGCAGCCGCGGUAAUACGGAGGGUGCAGGCGUUAUUCGGAAUUAUUGGGCGUAAAGGGUGCGUAGGCGGCCCGUUAAGUCAGAUGUGAAAGCCCGGGGCUCAACCCCGGAACUGCAUUUGAUACUGGCGGGCUUGAGUAUGGGAGAGGAAAGCGGAAUUCCUGGUGUAGCGGUGAAAUGCGUAGAUAUCAGGAGGAACACCGGUGGCGAAGGCGGCUUUCUGGACCAAUACUGACGCUGAUGCACGAAGGCGUGGGGAGCAAACAGGAUUAGAUACCCCCGUAGUCCC
rnacentral:rRNA from 1 species